rnacentral:rRNA from 1 species
ACUGCUCAGUAACACGUGGACAACCUGCCCUUAGGUUGGGUAUAAACCCGGGAAACUGGGUAUAAUACCCGAUAGGUCUCGAUUGCUGGAAUGCAUCGAGAUUUAAAGCUCCGGCGCCUAAGGAUGGGUCUGCGGCCUAUCAGGUAGUAGUGGGUGUAGCGUACCUACUAGCCUACGACGGGUACGGGUUGUGAGAGCAAGAGCCCGGAGAUGGAUUCUGAGACACGAAUCCAGGCCCUACGGGGUGCAGCAGGCGCGAAAACUUUACAAUGCUGGCAACAGCGAUAAGGGAACCUCGAGUGCCAGGUUACAAAUCUGGCUGUCGAGAUGCCUAAAAAGCAUUUCAUAGCAAGGGCCGGGCAAGACCGGUGCCAGCCGCCGCGGUAACACCGGCGGCUCGAGUGGUAACCGUUAUUAUUGGGUCUAAAGGGUCUGUAGCCGGCCGGAUAAGUCUCUUGAGAAAUCUGGCAGCUUAACUGUCAGGCUUUCAGGAGAUACUGUCUGGCUCGAGGCCGGGAGAGGUGAGAGGUACUUCAGGGGUAGGGGUGAAAUCUUGUAAUCCUUGAAGGACCACCAGUGGCGAAGGCGUCUCACCAGAACGGACCUGACGGCAAGGGACGAAAGCUAGGGGCACGAACCGGAUUAGAUACCCGGGUAGUCCUAGCCGUAAACGAUACUCGCUAGGUGUCGGCCACGGUGCGACCGUUGUCGGUGCCGUAGGGAAGCCGUGAAGCGAGCCAUCUGGGAAGUACGGCCGCAAGGCUGAAACUUAAAGGAAUUGGCGGGGGAGCAC